ACCUAGGUGUGCGUGAGCUGCUGACAGGCGUAAGAGUUUCAUGGCCACCGGGGCUCUAAUGAUACCAGCACUGUGAAGUAAACACGUAAAUGGUCCCGCAAAUUAAGGAAGGCUCGCUGUUAUUCAACUCCUUUUUUUAUCCGUCCUGCAUCUUCUUUGUUGUUGGCAAAUCUGAGAAGAAGAGGUGGAUUUGCGUCCCCUGCGUGGCAAAAUGAGGAAGACGCUCAUUUGAAUGCCCUUGACGAAUGUUGCGAGUAUAAAAGAGCCGGUGAAGCCAAUCGGUCGCACACACACACUUCAUUACUCCUCGUCUUUGCAAUGCACAAGCUGAUCGUGCUGUUGAUCGUCUUGGCCGCCCUGAUGGCCGUCUGCCUGGCCAUGCCGUCGCCUGAGGUCAAAAUCGUCCCGUCCAUGUUGGUGCACGAGGAGCACCUGCCGAACCAGGGUGGCCAGGCAAGCGACAAAACCCUGGAGAAGUUUGUCGAGGAGCUUCUUGCACUCCGAGGAAAAGCUCUGUGAGAGAAAAAACGCUACAUUCAAUCAACUUACUAUUAGUUCUCCGUCCCUGUGCCUGGUUGUGAAAGAAAAAGUGACAACAAAAAAUUUAAAUAAGAAACACAUUUCACUUUUGUAUUUACAAUAAUUGUCAAGCUUCAUAAUAAAUAUUGUAAAAUGCGUGCAAGUACAACAACAAAAUAAUACA